rnacentral:rRNA from 1 species
UGGGGAAUAUUGCACAAUGGGCGCAAGCCUGAUGCAGCCAUGCCGCGUGUAUGAAGAAGGCCUUCGGGUUGUAAAGUACUUUCAGCGAGGAGGAAGGCGUUGUGGUUAAUAACCGCAACGAUUGACGUUACUCGCAGAAGAAGCACCGGCUAACUCCGUGCCAGCAGCCGCGGUAAUACGGAGGGAGCAAGCGUUAAUCGGAAUUACUGGGCGUAAAGCGCACGCAGGCGGUCUGUCAAGUCGGAUGUGAAAUCCCCGGGCUCAACCUGGGAACUGCAUCCGAAACUGGCAGGCUAGAGUCUUGUAGAGGGGGGUAGAAUUCCAGGUGUAGCGGUGAAAUGCGUAGAGAUCUGGAGGAAUACCGGUGGCGAAGGCGGCCCCCUGGACAAAGACUGACGCUCAGGUGCGAAAGCGUGGGGAGCAAACA